rnacentral:sRNA from 1 species
AAGAACAAGAUCCAACUGGUGGUUGGGGCGUUGGAACACCAAGGAAGCCGAAUUGAAGGACACCUACCUUAGGGUUUCGUUAGGUGCGAGCCAAUUUGAGGGCCUUCCUGGCCAAAUUAGAAUCGACCACAGUCAAAUUUUGACAUUCGAUUUAUAAAAAUGUUAUUCCUUGUUCGCAGUGAUAUGCCUCUCAGAGUGCUUGCCAAGUUUAUUGGGGUUCAACUUGUUAACUUUCAUAUUCAAUUGUAUUUCAAUAACACUGUACCUCCCAUUGAAUAAGGGUGACAAUGGAGAUCUUCACAGAACCUACACUAGCAAAGGGAAAGAAGACGACUCUGAAUCAUUAAUGUGUUACUAAGGACUAAGAGUAGAGCUGCUGCAAGGAGUGACAUAAUUACUCGCAGGGUCAAGGGGAGGAAGUUAGUUGUCGAACUAACAAGCCAAUAUGG